rnacentral:lncRNA from 1 species
ACAUUUAAGGUUAAUAUUGUUAUGUGUGAAUUUGAUCCUGUCAUUAUGAUGUAUUUUAAUUACACAAUUAGUUCAUGAUUACAUUCUAAGAAAAAUCAAAUACAAUACAAAGUGAAAGCCUCAUUCAUUAAAUUUUCUGUCUAUCAUGAGUGGAUACAGUCUUGUUUCCCAAAUUCAGUGUCUUCAUGCUGUAGGGGUUGGAGUUGACCGUGAGUGGCUCAUCUUUUGGGCGUGGGACUGUCUGAACUUUUUGGGUCUCUUGGGGCUUCCAAGGAACCGUGUGCGUCUCCUCAUUCCCCGACCUGCUUGAGGCAAACACCUACUGGAGUCCCUCAACUCUUCCUCGGCUUGCUGUAACUGGUGUCCCACA